rnacentral:rRNA from 1 species
GACGAACCGUGCGAACGUUAUUCGGAAUCACUGGGCUUAAAGCGCGUGUAGGCGGAUGAGCACGUCUGUCGCUGAAAUCCCCCGGCUCAACCGGGGAACGGGCGGGGAUACGGCUUGUCUGGAGGGGCGUAGGGGGACCUGGAACUUCCGGUGGAGCGGUGAAAUGCGCAGAUAUCAGGAGGAACACCGGUGGCGAAGGCGGGUCUCUGGGCAUUAACUGACGCUGAGGAGCGAAAGCAUGGGGAGCGAACAGG